rnacentral:rRNA from 1 species
GAUUAGCAUACCCGUGUAGUCCACGCCGUAAACGAUGAGUGCUAGGUGUUAGGCCCUUUCCGGGGCUUAGUGCCGCAGCUAACGCAUUAAGCACUCCGCCUGGGGAGUACGACCGCAAGGUUGAAACUCAAAGGAAUUGACGGGGGCCCGCACAAGCGGUGGAGCAUGUGGUUUAAUUCGAAGCAACGCGAAGAACCUUACCAGGUCUUGACAUCCCGAUGCUAUUCCUAGAGAUAGGAAGUUUCUUCGGAACAUCGGUGAGAGGUGGUGCAUGGC